rnacentral:tRNA from 1 species
UAUAGCUCAGUGUUAGAGCACUUGCCUAGCACAUAUGAGGCUCUAGGUUCAAUUCCCAGUA